GCUCAUAAUCGUUUUUUCGUUAGCAAUGGUUUACCGUUAGUUACAGAUAUACAUUAAAUUACCUAUAACAGUAGCUGCACCCAUCUCUAUUAUCCUAAGACGUAUUUUUUUUUCGGUUUUUUACAUUUGAUGAGAAAACUCUUGAGAAAAUCGAAAAAUGACCUCCCUAAGGUAUCCUACGCCGAUUUCAUUUCAGAAAUGGUGCUACACGUAAAAAUCCGAGCAUGUCUUCUGGUAGAAAAGUUGCGUAUAGAUAAAAUAAAGAAAAAAAAAACAUUUGUUGAACUAUAAGCUUCUUCGCUCCACUUAGAAUCUAAAAUAUAUCUGAGAUGCACCAAGGAACCCACUUCUUUGUUUUUUAAAUUUUUUAUCAAUGAAGUUAAUUGGAAAAUAUAUUAGAUUAGUUUUGAUAAUAAAUCCAACAUGAGUAAGUAGAUCUAUACUUGAAUACAGUGAAACCUUUCUUAAUGGACACCUCCAAAUAGCGGACAAUCUUUUGGGAACGAAGACAUUUUCAACACUUACGUAAGAAGACCUCCAAAUACUGGACACUCUAAAUAACGAACAUUUUUAUGGCAAAUCAAGGUUUUAAACACGCUAAAAUAACUGAUUUUUUCAAUAAGU